UCUAAAAAAAACUGGAUCGCGCAUCCUAUUGUUCUCAAACCUUAGAAAGUGCGGCCGGCGAAUUUCAAUCGGCGCCAUGCGCUUGUGACCACUUCAGCGGGAAAAUGAAUAGCUAGGAUGCUGGAGAAUAAGGUAUUCGCUGCAUUUAUUUUGCCUGUAAGAAAUGCGAAAUAGGGAACUGACGAUGAAAAGGGAAUAAAUGACAAAAAGGACCAUGAGAAUCAAGGAUUGCAAAUAAAAAGGAAGCUACGCUCCACUUUUUCACCGUAGAGCAACUUGUGUGCAUCUUUGACUUGGUGGAUUGACAAAGACAUGUGCCUUCACCACUUGUUUUGAAAUGAAAUAAACAUCUGUUUAUAAAACCAUAAAGGUUUUCCAUUUUCAAGUUUUGGAAAGGAACCAAUCACUGAGAUGUUAUGAUGUGACUAAGCAAUGGAAGUUGUUGCUAGCAGCUGAAUCUUACUAAAGCAAAACAAACUGCAAUAUUUAUAACAUUAAUUUUGGAGUGGAAACAGUAAUUUAGAUUGUUUCAGGAGGUUCUUCAAACAUAUUUUACAAAUUCAAAUGUUUGCUACAAAAAUUGUGUAUAUGUUUAGAACAUUUAGCAGUAAAAUGAAUUUAUUUUGUGAGCUUUAUGCAGUAAUCUAUGAUUAUUUCUGGAACAAAAUUACCAAUGUAAUCAAA